ensembl:lncRNA novel transcript
AGACCGCAAAGUGGGCUGGGAUCUGUGAGCCCAGAAAAGCAACGUUCCACCAAAGUCAAGGGAGGCUGGAAUGUCAAAUUGGAGGUGUCUAGGAGUGUCAAAUAUUGCAGAAGGUGUUAAAAAGGACCGAAAAGUGUCUGCUGAGAUUUGCUAUCCAGAAGCACAGCUCAAAAUGGCCUCUGCAGAAUAAAUGGAAUGAGCUAGGUGUGGAACUCCAGGCACAGCGGUCAAUUAAGGGCUGUUCAUUAACAUUUCAAGCACUGCAGAUAGGGCAUUGUGAGAGCAGGGAUGAUGAUGUCUGCAAUGUGCUUGGCCCUUCAUAUGUGUCUGAUCCAGUUUACUUUCGGGGACAUCCGUCAUCACCAUUGGAAUCCAGACACACACCAUGAAACAUAAACAGACUGAGGCCAACAAAGGUGAAGACAGUUGCCUAAAUAACACAGCUUAUUUGCAGAAGAGCUAACAAGCGUUGAGUCGAUACUAUUUUAGCUAUAUUGUGUGACUUUUUGUACCAGAGAACUUACAAAAAUCAUCAGGGCCAGAUGGCCUGCAAGAUAUUGGAUCAUUAGGACAUAAAAAUUAGGUAGAAUCAAGUGACUCACAAGGAAGUUGGCAUUAUUGUGUGUGGAACAGCAGCAGAGCUUACUAACAUUCUCAGCUACAAAACAAAAAAUAACGAACCAGAGACUUCAGCUCAGUUCUUGUGAUUGGAGUUGUGUUUCCUCCAGAGUGACGAGCAUGGUAUAAGACGCCUCGCCCUGCACCCCAUCACGGCUCUCCCCAGACAGCCCUGACAGAGGGACAGGGAGGAGUCUCAUUUUGCAUCAAGAGCUUUCCAUGGGUCAUGUUAUUUCACCCUGCACGAUGCUGUGUGGUCUCAUCACCACUGAACACACAAGACCCUGAGACUCUGAGAGGUAGACACUGCACUCUACAGCUGCGAUUCACACCUGGAUCUGCUGGCUCAAGGUCUGCACUCUUUCCACUGCACCACAGUAACCCACAUGAAUCAGCAAUGAAAAGGCAAGACGGAGUAAGGUAAUUUGGGUGGGGUUCAGGAAUCUUCAUUUAAGAAAAAUACCUCCAGUGACAGACAGAUGGCCAUCAACCACAAUUUGAGGAAAAAAAA